AUGAGAGGUUUCUUCCUCAUCCUUAGCUCUGGCCGCCAUCUCUUUAGUCAUCACAAAGUCUUUCGCAGUACCUUUCCAGCCUUGGUCGUCGUCGUUGUUGUUGGAGCAAGCGUGAUGUUAGAAAUUUUACAUAAGAGACAGUUGAGGGUGCGAGGUUGGAGCAGUGCAACAGGCUUUAUAGCAGCCUGUUUUAUAGAAGUUUUUUAG